CAUUGGCUCAANCAAUGUAUGCUUUGGAAACUGUUAGACUUGAGUGCAGAAGGGGAGAGUGGAAUUCCAUGUGUAGCGGUGAAAUGCGUAGAUAUAUGGAGGAACACCGGUGGCGAAAGCGGCUCUCUGGUCUGUCACUGACGCUGAGGCUNGAAAGCGUGGGUAGCGAACAGGAUUAGAUACCCUGGUAGUNCACGCCGUAAACGCUGAGUGCUAGGUGUUAGGUCCUUUCCGGGACUUAGUGCCGACGCUAACGCAUUAAGCACUCCGCCUGGGGUGUACGACCGCAAGGUUGAAACUCAAAGGAAUUGACGGGGGCCCGCACAAGCGGUGGAGCAUGUGGUUUAAUUCGAAGCAACGCGAAGAACCUUACCAGGUCUUGACAUCCCGAUGCCCGCUCUAGAGAUAGAGUUUUUCUUCGGAACAUCGGAGACAGGUGGUGCAUGGUUGUCGUCAGCUCGUGUCGUGAGAUGUUGGGUUAAGUCCCGCAACGAGCGCAACCCUUAUUGUUAGUUGCCAUCAUUAAGUUGGGCACUCUAGCGAGACUGCCGGUAAUAAACCGGAGGAAGGUGGGGAUGACGUCAAAUCAUCAUGCCCCUUAUGACCUGGGCUACACACGUGCUACAACGGUUGGUACAACGAGUCGCAAGCCGGUGACGGCAAGCUAAUCUCUGAAAGCCAAUCUCAGUUCGGAUUGUAGGCUGCAACUCGCCUACAUGAAGUCGGAAUCGCUAGUAAUCGCGGAUCAGCACGCCGCGGUGAAUACGUUCCCGGGCCUUGUACACACCGCCCGUCACACCACGAGAGUUUGUAACACCCAAAGUCGGUGAGGUAACCAUUUAUGGGGCCAGCCGCC
rnacentral:rRNA from 1 species